rnacentral:rRNA from 1 species
ACGAACGCUGGCGGCGUGCUUAACACAUGCAAGUCGAACGGAAAGGCCCUGCUUUUGUGGGGUGCUCGAGUGGCGAACGGGUGAGUAACACGUGAGUAACCUGCCCUUGACUUUGGGAUAACUUCAGGAAACUGGGGCUAAUACCGGUUAGGAGCUCCUGCUGCAUGGGGGGGGUUGGAAAGUUUCGGCGGUUGGGGAUGGACUCGCGGCUUAUCAGCUUGUUGGUGGGGUGGUGGCUUACCAAGGCUUUGACGGGUAGCCGGCCUGAGAGGGUGACCGGCCACAUUGGGACUGAGAUACGGCCCAGACUCCUACGGGAGGCAGCAGUGGGGAAUAUUGCACAAUGGGCGGAAGCCUGAUGCAGCAACGCCGCGUGCGGGAUGACGGCCUUCGGGUUGUAAACCGCUUUCGCCUGUGACGAAGCGUGAGUGACGGUAAUGGGUAAAGAAGCACCGGCUAACUACGUG